UGGACCAUAGGUAGACAAUAGUCCUGUUCAACGACGUAGGUUGAACUUGCUCGAAGUUGCUGCAAGUAGAAUAACUAGCCACAGAAGUCCAAUGUCGCGACUAUUCUUGUGACUAACAUCUAGUUUGCCACGCCCUUACAGCGUCAGUAGCGGUACUAGAAGUGUCAAAUAAAUUUUAUUUACCAAAACAAAAGAUCCUCUAUCAGCUGGACAGUUAAAACAAUCAAUUAUUACAAUUAAAGUUAUAAAUUUAACUAAAUACGAAAAGUGCCUACAGCGCCAUUGGAGUUCUAGUGUAUUUCUAUUUUGCUGCAUCCUACUCUUACCCAUUUGUCAACAAACGGGAAAGAGCGGGAUGGAGCAAGUUCGAGCAAGUUCAACCCACGUCGUUGAACAGGACUAAUUUAUGAUAUUUUUUUUUUAUUUUGGAUGUACUCCGAUAAUUUACUUCGGAUUUUUCUGGUUAGAAAAUGAAAGGCCAUUCCCCCUGGAACAGGUGGUAGAAACUGUUUCGCUUUGAUUCGCAUUCUUCUAUCAAAUGUGAAGUGGUGUAGUGUAUAAGAUAGAAGAUCGUGGCACUCAAGGUCCUGGUAUCAAAUCUGAACCUAGGGCAACUUUUUUUUUUAAAUCAAAACAUUGUCAAUAAUGAAAUGAAGUAGAAUUCCAAUAAUAUUUAUUGAAGAGGCUUUGGAAGUUGUUUUCUUUAUGAUAUUCAAUUGGCUUCUUUAGCGGUGUUGAGAUAAUUCCAUAUUCUUAAUCUGCAUGCCAAACUGAGCCGAAAUCCAAAUUUUCAUGAAUUUUGGUGCCCGGGAACCUAUUUAAAAAUCAGUUUGAAGUUUGUAUGGAAGCGAUGUGCCGAAUGACCCCUCGUCGCCUUUUGUACUGGGCGGAGCUGUCAAGCAGUCGCUUAGCUGUUAAAAGGUGAUUUCAAAAAAUCUCUUUGAAAUUUAUUUUAGGUACAAAAAUAAAGUUUAAAAAUCUGAAACAAAUCAUAGUAGCUCAGAAAAAGGUGCUCUUUCGCAUAAAAUAAAAAAAAUCAAUACAUUUUUCAAAAUUUAAAAACCCAAUUAAUAUCGAAUUGAUUGAACAGUAGUAGGAGUGACUGUUCGAUAGCCGGAGAGCACCUUGCUGGUUCUUUCAGAUAUUGAACUCCGUCGGAUUUGUCGCGGACGAUUGAUAGGCACUUUAAUGAAUUUUGAACAUUUAUUUGCACCUGCCUUCUAUCAUGGACGACUUAAAACUAACUCAAUACAAAAAUGGUUAACAAUGCGAAUGGACAGAUUCAGUUUCUUAGUACAGUGAAGUAUUUCUAUAUCGGACUAGCAAAUUCAAAUACGAGGCGUGAUCAUCCUCCCCCCUAUGAAAAAAAACUAGUUUUUUUUUUCAUCUAAAUAAACUUCAACAAGAUGUAUAAUCUUCAUCAGAAUCGGCCGAUGAUGAGAUCAAUCGUAACCGUGGCUCGCAAUGGUUAUUGCUUUUUCGCUGUCCAGUUGCAAUAUUCCAGUCUGUGGGAGUAAUGUAGUGGCCUCUAGGUAUACGUCCUGAAACCACCCAACCUAAUACUGAGUUGACCAACGUCGGAAGACCAUGGCCCAAUGGAAUCCGCCCACGGGGAUUGAACAAAUCAAAAAACACUUCCGCUCCUAGGACCAUAUCCACUCGUUGAGGCAUCCAAAAUCCAGGAUCAGCCAACUGAAUAUCAGCUGGUAUGUUCCAAUGUCGAGUACUGAUUGGUUCCGACGGCAGCUUCAUUGUUAUUUUCGGCAUUACGAAGAAAUCCAAAGGAGCAUAAUAAUUGUUGAUUCUUGAUUUAACAACCGCAUUCACCCUCUUCUUAACCGUCGUAGUUCCUCCUGCGAUUCCCAAAAUCUGCUGAUGGACGGAGUCAUGCUUCAGCUGAACACGUUGAAAUAGAUUCUCACUCAUGAAACACGCUUGUGAGCAUGAAUCCAAUAAUGCACGAGCCUGAUGACAGUUUCCCUUGUUGUCGACAAUGUUGACCACUGCAGUUAUCAAUAGCACCUGACCUUUCCGUUGAUCACAAUUCUUCUCCGUAGUUGUAACGUUUGCUACUAAUGCUACGUCAUCAUCUCGAGCACCGGUUGUGCUAGAUUGAGGCAAAAUAUCAACAGAGUUGUUGUCCAGACACAGAAGAGUAUGAUGACGUGAACCACAUCUACGACACGAAAACUUCGAAGGACAAGUUCUGCAUGUGUGCCCCUUGCCCAAACAAUUACGACACAGUCCAUGCCUUCUGAUCUCUUCCUCUUUCUCUGUAGGACGAAGCCCUGCAAACACAGAGCACCAUCGUAGUAAGUGGUCACCACGGCACAAAAAACAUUUCGGCUCCGACACACGAAGCGCAGACAUGCUCACUAAUCUGGAUCCAUCACAUUUCCUGGUCGUAGUGUUCUGCUCCAUACAAACCGAUUCCAAUAUUUGUACACGACGUCGCAAGAAUUCGAGCAGUUCUGUUACUGUGUCUGUAUCUCUUUUGGACGAUUCUUCUUCCCAAGUGCGGCGCGUACACGUAUCCAAUUUUGUUGUCAACAAGUGUAUCAUUAGUAGAUGUUUGUAAUCAGCAUCCUCCACAAUUUGAUCCAGUGUUUUUAUCGCCCUUUCGAAGUUGUCAGUUAAAUCAUGGAGUUCUCGGGCAUUCUCGCGUUUUAGCUCGGGAAGCUCGAACAGUGCUUGCACUUGCUUACGUUUCAGCAUUUUCUUGUUGGAAUAUCGCGCCGUGAGAAGAUUCCAAGCUACAGUGUAGUUGGCUGGUGUAAGUGGUAGCGAACUUAUCACAUUCAAUGCCUCUCCAUCGAGUUGCGAACGUAGAUAAUGGUACUUUUCGAUGGUGGGCAGCUCAGCUGAGCUAUGGACGAGAGCAACAUACAGAUCACGGAAUGCAAGCCAUUCUUCUAUGUCCCCAGAAAAUCUAGGAAGUGUAAUUCUGGGCAACUGAACCUUCGGAACCAACUGCUGAACUACGAGGGAUUCAUUCAAACGAUGUGACCUUUCUAGACUCAGUGGAUCCUGAUCUAAUUGGUUGACGAGGAACUCCUUAAUCCUGUAGUAUUUCUUCUCGUACGUGGUUUUCUCAUUCAGCAUUUGACAGGACAACACGAGCGCAAGUAACUGAUAAUCAAGUAAGGAUAACGGUCGUAAUAGUGCGUCCGGACUACAUGAACAACUACAUUGGAAGCAAAAUGAUGUGUGGGGAAAGGAAUAGGAGUGGAUUUGACCCAAUUAUCCAUAUAUGACUACAAAGUUCAUUGAAACGUGUGGCAAAAAAAAUGAGUUAUAUAGCAGUAAAACUAAUAAAUAAGCAGAACAUUGGCGUCUCGUAA